AAAAAAAAAAAAAAGUGAUUAGUUUGCAGUUCACAUAGUAGGAGGGGGUCAGAUGUGAUAAGAUAAACAGACAGAUUUUAAAUCGUUAAAGUCAAAUUCCAUAGUAAAGUUUCUUAACUGGUAAAGGAGCUAAGCCAUCAAGCUGAUACAUAAUUGGAUUUAGCAUAGUAAACUUUCUUAACCAGAAUAUCUUUUUAGCCGCUCAGCAAAACCCCCAUGGCCAUCUAUCUGGGCUAACACACUUAAAAUUAGGCACAUUCUUAAUUCUUGCUGAAUUUGUUCCCCCUCUUCUCCAGGGUAGGGAGCAUCAGAUGUGCAAAGGGUUAA
rnacentral:lncRNA from 1 species